UUAAAAAAAAAAAAAUGUUUAAAAGUCACCUAUGACCUCCUAAUCACCAAAUCUAAUGGUCUUUCCUCUUGUUAUCCUUGGUUUCCUAAGAUCAUUUGUGAAAUAUACUCUAUAGGAAUAAGAUUAUCUGAUUUCUUUGUUCUUCUGCCUUGUAUGUCCUGAUUCUCUUACGUCUCUGAAAGUUUUUUAACAUUUCCUGCACUUCUUCCCCCAAAACAUAGCGGUUCCUACAUUAGUUAGGAUGCAAACUAGAUUUAAAAGCAAAAAGAGGGAGGAAGGUGAAGAUGGCGGCGGCUGGGGCGCGGGUCCUGGGAGUCCGAUGGCUGCAAAGGGCAAUCUGGACCGUGGUGCGGUUGGGUGCACGGACAGCAACGCACAUUACGAAGGACAUGCUCCCGGGGCCCUAUCCCCAAACCCCGGACGAACGGGCCGCCGCCGCCAAGAAAUACAGUAUGCGGGUAGAAGACUACCAACCGUACCCGGAUGAUGGCAUGGGGUGUGGCAACUACCCGAAGCUCCCUGACCGCUCACAGCAGAAGAGGGAUCCGUGGUAAAACUGGGACCACCCAGACCUGAGGUUGAACUGGGGUGAACCGAUGCACUGGGACUUUGACAUGUGUAUCAGGAACUGUGUGGACACAUCCCGCACGCCUGUUUCCUGGAAUCUCAGGUGUAAGCCCCUCCUCGGCUUCGUGGCCUUCAUGCUGUUCAUGUUUUGGGUUGGGAAGACUUACCCCACCUACCAGCCUAUGGGGCCAAAGCAGUAUCCUUAUAAUAAUCUGUACCUGGAACGAGGCAGCGAUCCCACCAAAGAGCCUGAGCCAGUGGUUCAUUACGAGAUCUGAGGUGGCUUCAUCAGCUUUGUGCUCCUGAACUGACUCCCUCAUUUCUAGAGAUUUAACCUUAAUGAAAUCCCUAAUAAAACUUAGUGCUGUGGUAAAAUAAAUAAAUAAAUAAUAAUAAAAGCAAAAAGAAUGUAUUGGCUUAUAUAAUUGGGAAGUGCAUAGAUAGAAUUGUCUUCAAGAAUAGGCUUAUGUCAUUGGGGCUAAAGUUCCAUUUUUCUGCUAAUAUCUCAACUUUGUCCUCCUGUUUGGGCUUUAUGCUCAGACUGGCUUCCCUCCUAGUAAAAAAAAAUGGCUAUCAGCAAUGUUCAUCUGAUAGCCUUCUUUAUUUCCAAAGGGAGAGAGAAGGAUUCUCUUUUAGCCUUUUCCCAAAAGUCCUAACCCCUAUUCUGAUUGAACAAAUGGAGAAGGUCAUGCUGCCAAGUCUGUCACAAUAUCUUUGUCAAAAGGGGUGAAAUUAUUCUAAUUGGCCUAACUGGUGGAUGAACCUCAUCUAAAAUGACAAGAGGUAACCAGUGUACUUAAAGGUCUCUGUGCUUUUCACUGUGUUCUCUUGGUGGUUGUAUCCUAUUUUUAAUGAUAUAAAUCAUCAUUUUUGUGUGGUUGUUUCUCCAUUCUGUAACUUGACUUCCCACCUACAUUGCUUGCUGUAUAUCUCUUAUCUUAGAUGUACUAUCAUAAGCUUACCUCAUACCAAACAGAAUCAAAUCAAAUUUGAUUUUAAUCCACCUACCCUCACCUACUGUGUUUACAUGUGCAUGUGUGUAUAUGUGUUUCCCUUCCUUCUAAUUUCUCUUUUGUAAACACCUUUCUCCCAGCCACCCACUCUAACCCUGCAGUCGUCUUGGUUCUCCCACUUUCAGCAGCUGUCAAAUCUUGAAUAUAUCUUCUAUUAGUUUGGCCUCGGAUUACAUAAUAUCGACCAAGAGUAAACAGUAUUUCACGUAAAAAGAAGUCCAGAGUUGGAGGAUUACUGGUCAGUCAGUGUAGUGUUAUAUCAAGGAUCUAGGUGCUUUUCUUCUUUAUCCUUAGUGUGCUGAUCUUUGUGCUCAGGCUCAUCCCCUUAUUGUUGCACAUUACUCUUUCUGCUCCAGACAUCACAUUCUCACACAGCCACCAAAGAUAGGAGGAAGUUUGCCCUCCAGUCUCUUGAUUAGGCAAAUAAACCUUUCACAGAACCCCUAUGUCAGAUGUCAUCCUGGUAUGUUCAUGUCCUACUUGCCAGGGGGAAUGGAAAAACCAUUAUCUGGCAUUUCAGUCUAGGAGGAAGUUAGGUGAAUGACUGAAGGGAAGGUGACCAACAAUAUCAGUGACAUGUCUCUAUAGUAUUUUAUGGAAAAGUAAGUUUAAGUAAAUAAGAAUUUCCCAAUAGUAGGAGCAAACUUACAGCACUGCUUACCCCAAGAGUUGAUAUACACUAUACAUAGGAUUUUGGCCAAACAUUGAGAUAGUCAUAAAUGACUGAUUAAAAUUGGAUUAUGUAAAAUUAAGACAUUUGAGUGAUGUAUCCCUGUUCUCCUAAGGUUGAUGUUUUUCUUUUCUUUUUUUAAAUUUAAAUUCAAUUAACAUAUAGUGUAUUAUUAGUUUCAGAGGUAGAGUU